rnacentral:rRNA from 1 species
CCCUUCUGGUUCGGAAUAACUCAGGGAAACUUGAGCUAAUACCGGAUACGCCCUUUUGGGGAAAGGCUUGACUGCCGAAGGAUCGGCCCGCGUCUGAUUAGCUAGUUGGGGAGGUUAUGGCUCACCAAGGCGACGAUCAGUAGCUGUUCUGAGAGGAUGAUCAGCCACACUGGGACUGAGACACGGCCCAGACUCCUACGGGAGGCAGCAGGGGGGAAUAUUGGACAAUGGGGGCAACCCUGAUCCAGCCAUGCCGCGGGAGUGAUGACGGCCUUAGGGUUGUAAAGCUCUUUUCUCCGGGACGAUAAUGACGGUACCGGAGGAAUAAGCCCCGGCUAACUUCGUGCCAGCAGCCGCGGUAAUACGAAGGGGGCUAGCGUUGUUCGGAAUCACUGGGCGUAAAGGGCGCGUAGGCGGUUGAUUUAUUCGAGGGUGAAAGCCCGUGGCUCAACCACGGAAUGGCCUUCGAUACUGUUUGGCUUGAGACCGGAAGAGGACAGCGGAACUGCGAGUGUAGAGGUGAAAUUCGUAGAUAUUCGCAAGAACACCAGUGGGGAAGGCGGCUGUCUGGUCCGUUUCUGACGCUGAGGCGCGAAAGCGUGUGGAGCAAACAGGAUUAGAUACCCCUCGCUAUCCCACGCUGUAAACGAUGAAUGCUAGCCGUUGGGGUGCAUGCACCUCAGUGGCGCCGC